rnacentral:rRNA from 1 species
UUUUCCGCUUCGGACCAUGCCUAAGUCCCUUGGAAAAGGGCAUCAUAGAGGGUGAUAAUCCCGUACAUGGCAUGGAGCGCCCGAAGCUUUGUGAUACGCUUUCUAAGAGUCGAGUUGUUUGGGAAUGCAGCUCAAAAUGGGUGGUAAAUGCCAUCUAAGGCUAAAUAUUGGGGAGAGACCGAUAGCGAACAAGUACAGUGAUGGAAAGAUGAAAAGAACUUUGAAAAGAGAGUUAAACAGUACGUGAAAUUGCCAAAAGGGAAGGGUAGGAGGUCAGAGAUGCGGCCUGGGAUUCAGCCUUGCUUUUGCUUGGUGUUUUUCCCAGAUUGCAGGCCAACGUCGGUUUUGGGCACUGGAGAAGGGUAGGAGGAACGUGGCACCUCUCGGGGUGUGUUAUAGCCUCCUACUGGAUACAGCGACCGAGACCGAGGACAGCAGC